GGGUCAGUAGGUUGGUCGUGCCACCGGUACGUACUGGUCUAACUGAUUCCUCCUUCCUGAAGAACCGUAAUGCCAUUAAUUUGGUGUUGCGGGGAAACAGGACUGUUACUUUGAAAAAAUUAUAGUGUUUAAAGCAAGCUAACGCUUGAAUACAUUAGCAUGGAAUAAUGAAAUAGGACGAUCGAUCCUAUUUUGUUGGUUUCUAGGAUUGACGUA
rnacentral:rRNA from 1 species